rnacentral:lncRNA from 1 species
AUGACACAUUAGAGUACACAGUUUGAAAAAGCCAAACCCCUUUCUUGCCAUGUAGCUUUGGAUCCUAGCUAUUUGCUUUUUUUUGUCACAUUGUAUAGAAUUCCUUUUCUCUUUCUGCCCAUUAAAAGAGGACCAAACAAUUCUUUAGAGGAAGGGAGUAAUAGUUUUGUAGGACUACAUGUUAAUGUGAUAAAGUUUUAUUCAUUGUUUUUAAUCUGAAAUAUACUUUAUUUGCUCUUUGACCAUAUACUAUCUUAUUUGUUGAUUAUAGUUCUGUCUUGUUGAACUGCUAGAAUCUAGCCUCUGGCCAUCUUACAGUGCCAAUAUAUGUCUGCAGGGUUUUUGAGCAACACACUUGAUUAUGCCUAAUAUUCACUGCAUCAGCAUUACGCUAGCUCUUUCAUUUGCCCAUGGAUAAUGUAAGCAAAGGAGGGAAGUGCUCAUUAAGAAAUUCUCCUUCAGUGAUGGCUUGUGUUGGUUUAGUGCCUGUUACCCUGCAGUGUCCAAUGUGUCACUGCCAGGUGAAGUGUCCAUGUGUUUCUGGGCAGCUUCUCUGCUCAGUGUGGUCCUGAGAUGGCCUUCCCCACCACCUAGAGUGUGGUCCCUGGCCGCCUCCUUCUCCUGCUCCACAAGUCCAAAACUGGCUUGUCUGGAGCCAGGGGUUAGUCCUGGGGUGUGUGUGUGCCUGCACACCUGUGCGCAUGGGAUUGCUGACUCAGGAAUUGCCUCCUCCCUGCCUGGCUAGUGAGAGGCUGGACAGGAAUGGUCCCCCUGGUGGCCCCAGCAAGGCCCAAGGAGUGACUACCCUUCCUUACUGUGCUUCUGGGCCGCUUCCUCCCCUGGAGGCAUGGGCUUGUUGCCUUUGGCCAGCUGCCCUGAUGGAGGAGAACACUGGAUUAUAGGAAAUGUUUCAUUCAUGUUUGCCAUUACCUUUAUCUGUGAAUAGUUAUUUCUUAUUAGGGAGAUUACAGGUAGUUUUGGCAAAGCAUCGAUGAAAUAGAGGCACAUUUUCAAUUAAAAAUGCUUCUACAAAGAUGUUGUUUUUAAGUUAUGGUUAAACAUUUCAGUAACUCAGCACUACCAUGCAAAUUGGUGGGCCUGAUG